CUCGAUUUGUUGAAAUGAGGCUGCAUGACAUCGAGGGGCGACCUGUGUUUCUACAGAUGUCAAGAGCCCGGAAUGAGGUUAUAAUGCCUGGAUGUGCAGGAGCCAUGUUAUAACCAUGAGGCAACAAACCUGAGCAUAGAAGCCAACACGCUAUGGAUAAUGGAGUGAAAAAAAAAAUCUGGAGACAUUCCUAACUGAUAGAGGAGGACAGCGGAGAAAGGAAAAGUCAUGGCAGAAUAAAAAUUAUGAAGGAGAGCAACACCUGUGUGUUCAUCCAGACCCGAAUG